rnacentral:rRNA from 1 species
GGCGGCGUGCUAUACAUGCAAGUCGAGCGGACAGAAGGGAGCUUGCUCCCGGAUGUUAGCGGCGGACGGGUGAGUAACACGUGGGUAACCUGCCUGUAAGACUGGGAUAACUCCGGGAAACCGGAGCUAAUACCGGAUAGUUCCUUGAACCGCAUGGUUCAAGGAUGAAAGACGGUUUCGGCUGUCACUUACAGAUGGACCCGCGGCGCAUUAGCUAGUUGGUGAGGUAACGGCUCACCAAGGCGACGAUGCGUAGCCGACCUGAGAGGGUGAUCGGCCACACUGGGACUGAGACACGGCCCAGACUCCUACGGGAGGCAGCAGUAGGGAAUCUUCCGCAAUGGACGAAAGUCUGACGGAGCAACGCCGCGUGAGUGAUGAAGGUUUUCGGAUCGUAAAGCUCUGUUGUUAGGGAAGAACAAGUGCAAGAGUAACUGCUUGCACCUUGACGGUACCUAACCAGAAAGCCACGGCUAACUACGUGCCAGCAGCCGCGGUAAUACGUAGGUGGCAAGCGUUGUCCGGAAUUAUUGGGCGUAAAGGGCUCGCAGGCGGUUUCUUAAGUCUGAUGUGAAAGCCCCCGGCUCAACCGGGGAGGGUCAUUGGAAACUGGGAAACUUGAUUGCAGAAGAGGAGAGUGGAAUUCCACGUGUAGCGGUGAAAUGCGUAGAGAUGUGGAGGAACACCAGUGGCGAAGGCGACUCUCUGGUCUGUAACUGACGCUGAGGAGCGAAAGCGUGGGGAGCGAACAGGAUUAGAUACCCUGGUAGUCCACGCCGUAAACGAUGAGUGCUAAGUGUUAGGGGGUUUCCGCCCCUUAGUGCUGCAGCUAACGCAUUAAGCACUCCGCCUGGGGAGUACGGUCGCAAGACUGAAACUCAAAGGAAUUGACGGGGGCCCGCACAAGCGGUGGAGCAUGUGGUUUAAUUCGAAGCAACGCGAAGAACCUUACCAGGUCUUGACAUCCUCUGACAACCCUAGAGAUAGGGCUUU